UGUUUCGGCUAGGGGGCCAUCCCGGCUUACCAACCCGAUGCAAACUGCGAAUACCGGAGAAUGUUAUCACGGGAGACACACGGCGGGUGCUAACGUCCGUCGUGAAGAGGGAAACAACCCAGACCGCCAGCUAAGGUCCCAAAGUCAUGGUUAAGUGGGAAACGAUGUGGGAAGGCCCAGACAGCCAGGAUGUUGGCUUAGAAGCAGCCAUCAUUUAAAGAAAGCGUAAUAGCUCACUGGUCGAGUCGGCCUGCGCGGAAGAUGUAACGGGGCUAAACCAUGCACCGAAGCUGCGGCAGCGACACUUUAGUGUUGUUGGGUAGGGGAGCGUUCUGUAAGCCGUUGAAGGUGUCCUGUGAGGGGUGCUGGAGGUAUCAGAAGUGCGAAUGCUGACAUAAGUAACGAUAAAGCGGGUGAAAAGCCCGCUCGCCGGAAGACCAAGGGUUCCUGUCCAACGUUAAUCGGGGCAGGGUGAGUCGACCCCUAAGGCGAGGCCGAAAGGCGUAGUCGAUGGGAAACGGGUUAAUAUUCCCGUACUUGGUGUUACUGCGAAGGGGGGACGGAGAAGGCUAUGUUGGCCGGGCGACGGUAGUCCCGGUUUAAGCGUGUAGGUGUGUGUUCCAGGUAAAUCCGGU
rnacentral:rRNA from 1 species